UGACGAGGGGGGCAAGCGUUUGUUUGCGGAAUUACUGGGCGUAAAGCGCGUGUGAGGCGGACUAAGGUAAGUCGGGCCGCGAAAUCCCCACGGCUCAACCGUGGAAGUGGCACUCGAAACUGCAUAGCUAGAGUCCUGGAAGAGGAAGGUGGAAUGCUUGGUGUAGAGGUGAAAUUCGUAGAUAUCAAGCGGAACCACCGGUGGCGAAGGCGGCCUUCUGGACAGUG
rnacentral:rRNA from 1 species